rnacentral:rRNA from 1 species
CCUACGGGGGGCAGCAGUGGGGAAUAUUGGGCAAUGGACGCAAGUCUGACCCAGCAACGCCGCGUGAAGGAAGAAGGCUUUCGGGUUGUAAACUUCUUUUAUGCGGGGAUAAAGGUGUCCACGUGUGGAUGUUUGCAGGUACCGCAUGAAUAAGGACCGGCUAAUUCCGUGCCAGCAGCCGCGGUAAUACGGAAGGUCCGGGCGUUAUCCGGAUUUAUUGGGUUUAAAGGGAGCGUAGGCCGGUCUUUAAGCGUGCCGUGAAAUUUUGUGGCUCAACCAUGAGAGUGCGGCGCGAACUGGAGACCUUGAGUGCGCGGAAGGCAGGCGGAAUUCGUGGUGUAGCGGUGAAAUGCUUAGAUAUCACGAAGAACCCCGAUUGCGAAGGCAGCCUGCCGCAGCGUUACUGACGCUGAAGCUCGAAAGCGCGGGUAUCGAACAGGAUUAGAUACCCGUGUAGUC